UUUCGCGGCGGCUGUGCGCGGGAACGCUUCGGCGUAGCUGAGUUUGGUGGGUUUCUCAGUUUCCUACUCUCGCGUACGGCUGCCACCCAA
rnacentral:antisense_RNA from 1 species